UCGCUUGCAUAUAAAGAUACUGUUUGAGAUUUAAUAAAGUUUAUGUUCACAAAAAAAAUAGGCAUGCAGUAUUACAGUAAGCAAGAGAAGCAUAAAAAUAGCUGGUUGUUUGUUCCGGUAAUGUCCAGAAAAAAAAAAAAGAAUAACAAAACUUUCAUCAUCUUUGGUCGUAGAAAAAUACAAACUAAUCCUACUUGCUUUGAUAACUUGAUCAAUAGCAACAAACACAAGCAAAAUCAUCAUGCCUUCAGCUGAUUAUUAACAUAACUAGCAAAAUCAUCCUUGCUGUCCAGAAAGUCACCAUGGCCUCCUUCUUUAACCUCCUUUUCCCUGCUAGUUGUGUACACACCAAGCAAGAAAUAAGAAUCAGUAGAAGACAACUAAAUAAUUAGAAGCUAACUGAAUAAUUAGAAGCUAACUGAAAUUAGUAAUUAAAAUUGCAAACUGAAACCACAUUGGAAUUACAAACUGAAAUUACAAACUGAAAGCUAACUAAAGAGACGGUGAAAUUACUAACUGAAAUUACAGAGACUGCUAGUUAAUGUAUUCAAAACAAUUUGGAACCACUCAAGAGACAUUGGAGAGAUAUUCAGAGACUAACAGAUCACACUACGAGACACUUAUUCACACUAACAGAUCAAAGUUCAUAGACAUGCUGAUAUCAAGCAAACUGCUAAAACCAAAAAUCAGUUGACGCCCAAAAGCAGGAGAGAUAGAUGGACGCCCAAAUGGAGAAAGAGCGCUACCACCGCUGGCCUCAUCCCAAGAAUCAGAGGUAGUGAAGCCUCUGCCAUGGCUGCUAGCGGCGAGGAAGCCACUUCUUCCAUAGAUUGGGGAUGAAUCGUCCGCCGCAGCAGCGCCGUGCCCAUCCAUGGAGGAAGCCUAUGUCGCCAAACCUGAAGUGAGGCCGCCGCCGCACCAUAUAUAUCCUCAGCCGCCGAAGAUGGGUACGGCCACAAGACCACUGAGUCGGAGCUCCUCGUUUUGGCGGCGGUCACGGGUCACCAUCUAUCGACCAUUGGGAACACGAGUUCUGUGCGGAAGAAGGGAAAAUGCGUGCGAAAGAAACAAAAUCGCACGCGCGCCAAAUGUGGAUCCUGCGCGCGUGGCUUGGAGACGGGAGUGACGUACAAUGCCGGCGCUGAGAUGUGGGAGCACGAGCCGAGCUCGUCGACUCGUGAGGGCACUCACAC
rnacentral:lncRNA from 1 species